rnacentral:rRNA from 1 species
CGAGUCCGAGUGUCUACGGACGCGAAGUAGUGGAGUCAAGCUUCCCAGAAAAGCUCGGUGGCACGUUAAGCCAAAAUUACCUGUACCCGAAACCGACACAGGUAGGGAGGUUGAGAAUACCAAGGGGCGCGAGAUAACUCUCUCUAAGGAACUCGGCAAAAUGGCCCCGUAACUUCGGAAGAAGGGGUGCCCACCUAAGACGUGGAUCGCAGUGAAGAGAUCCAGGCGACUGUUUACCAAAAACACAGGUCUCCGCCAAGUCAAACGACGAAGUAUGGGGGCUGACGCCUGCCCAGUGCCGGAAGGUUAAGGAAGUCGGUCAGGGCGCAAGCCUAAAGCUGGCGACUGAAGCCCCGGUGAACGGCGGCCGUAACUAUAACGGUCCUAAGGUAGCGAAAUUCCUUGUCGGGUAAGUUCCGACCCGCACGAAAGGCGUAACGAUCUGGAUGGUGUCUCAGAGAGAGACUCGGCGAAAUAGGAAUGUCUGUGAAGAUACGGACUGCCUGCACCUGGACAGAAAGACCCUAUGAAGCUUUACUGUAGCCUGUAAUUGGCUCCGGGCUGUGUUUGCGCAGGAUAGGUGGGAGGCAUUGAGAUUGUCCUUGUGGGGACAAUGGAGCCAACGGUGAGAUACCACUCUAACACAGCUAGGAUUCUAACUUGGCACCGUAAUCCGGUACGAGAACAGUUGCAGGUGGGCAGUUUGACUGGGGCGGUCGCCUCCUAAACGGUAACGGAGGCGCGCAAAGGUUCCCUCAGCACGCUUGGAAACCGUGCAUAGAGUGUAAAGGCAUAAAGGGAGCUUGACUGCAAGAGCGACAACUCAAGCAGGGACGAAAGUCGGCCUUAGUGAUCCGACGGCACUGAGUGGAAGGGCCGUCGCUCAACGGAUAAAAGUUACUCUAGGAUAACAGGCUGAUCUCCUCCAAGAGUUCACAUCGACGAGGAGGUUUGGCACCUCGAUGUCGGCUCAUCGCAACCUGGGGCGGAAGUACGUCCCAAGGGUUGGGCUGUUCGCCCAUUAAAGCGGUACGUGAGCUGGGUUCAGAACGUCGUGAGACAGUUCGGUCCAUAUCCGGUGCAGGCGUAAGAGCAUUGAGAGGAGCCCUCCUUAGUACGAGAGGACCGGGAGGGACGCACCGCUGGUGUACCAGUUAUCGUGCCAACGGUAAACGCUGGGUAGCCAAGUGCGGCGCGGAUAACCGCUGAAAGCAUCUAAGUGGGAAGCCCACCUCAAGAUGAGUGCUCUCACUACAAAAGUAGGUAAGGUCACAGGAAGAUUACCUGUUGAUAGGCGCCAGGUGGAAGUGCAGUAUUGCAUGUAGCCGAAGCGUACUAAUAGACCGAGGGCUUGAC